AGAGUUUGAUCCUGGCUCAGGAUGAACGCUAGCGGCAGGCUUAACACAUGCAAGNAGAGGGGUAGAAGCAGCUUGCUGCUUUGAGACCGGCGCACGGGUGCGUAACGCGUAUACAAUCUACCUUUUACAGAGGGAUAGCCCAGAGAAAUUUGGAUUAAUACCUCAUAGUAUUUUCGAAUCGCAUGAUUUGAUUAUUAAAGUUCCAACGGUAAAAGAUGAGUAUGCGUCCCAUUAGCUAGAUGGUAAGGUAACGGCUUACCAUGGCAACGAUGGGUAGGGGUCCUGAGAGGGAGAUCCCCCACACUGGUACUGAGACACGGACCAGACUCCUACGGGAGGCAGCAGUGAGGAAUAUUGGACAAUGGGCGCAAGCCUGAUCCAGCCAUGCCGCGUGCAGGAAGACGGUCCUAUGGAUUGUAAACUGCUUUUAUACAGGAAGAAACACACCCUCGUGAGGGUACUUGACGGUACUGUAUGAAUAAGCAUCGGCUAACUCCGUGCCAGCAGCCGCGGUAAUACGGAGGAUGCAAGCGUUAUCCGGAAUCAUUGGGUUUAAAGGGUCCGUAGGCGGCCAAAUAAGUCAGUGGUGAAAGCCCAUCGCUCAACGAUGGAACGGCCAUUGAUACUGUUUGGCUUGAAUUAUUAGGAAGUAACUAGAAUAUGUAGUGUAGCGGUGAAAUGCUUAGAGAUUACAUGGAAUACCAAUUGCGAAGGCAGGUUACUACUAAUAUAUUGACGCUGAUGGACGAAAGCGUGGGGAGCGAACAGGAUUAGAUACCCUGGUAGUCCACGCCGUAAACGAUGGAUACUAGCUGUUCGGAGCAAUCUGAGUGGCUAAGCGAAAGUGAUAAGUAUCCCACCUGGGGAGUACGUUCGCAAGAAUGAAACUCAAAGGAAUUGACGGGGGCCCGCACAAGCGGUGGAGCAUG
rnacentral:rRNA from 1 species